CCUACGGGAGGCAGCAGUGGGGAAUAUUGGACAAUGGGCGCAAGCCUGAUCCAGCAAUGCCGCGUGAGUGAUGAAGGCCCUAGGGUUGUAAAGCUCUUUUACCCGGGAAGAUAAUGACUGUACCGGGAGAAUAAGCCCCGGCUAACUCCGUGCCAGCAGCCGCGGUAAUACGGAGGGGGCUAGCGUUGUUCGGAAUUACUGGGCGUAAAGCGCACGUAGGCGGCUUUGUAAGUCAGAGGUGAAAGCCUGGAGCUCAACUCCAGAACUGCCUUUGAGACUGCAUCGCUUGAAUCCAGGAGAGGUCAGUGGAAUUCCGAGUGUAGAGGUGAAAUUCGUAGAUAUUCGGAAGAACACCAGUGGCGAAGGCGGCUGACUGGACUGGUAUUGACGCUGAGGUGCGAAAGCGUGGGGAGCAAACAGGAUUAGAUACCCCAGUAGUC
rnacentral:rRNA from 1 species